CACGUAGGGGGCAAGCGUUGUCCGGAUUUAUUGGGCGUAAAGAGCUCGUAGGCGGCUCAGUAAGUCGGGUGUGAAACCUCCAGGCUCAACCUGGAGACGCCACCCGAUACUGCUGUGGCUUGAGUCCGGUAGGGGAGCGUGGAAUUCCUUGUGUAGCGGUGAAAUGCGCAGAUAUCAGGAGGAACACCAGCGGCGAAGGCGGCGCUCUGGGCCGGAACUGACGCUGAGGAGCGAAAGCGUGUGUAGCAAACAGG
rnacentral:rRNA from 1 species